rnacentral:rRNA from 1 species
GAUGAACGCUGGCGGCGUGCCUAAUACAUGCAAGUCGAGCGAACGGACGAGAAGCUGGCUUCUCUGAUGUUAGCGGCGGACGGGUGAGUAACACGUAGAUAACCUACCUAUAAGACUGGGAUAACUUCGGGAAACCGGAGCUAAUACCGGAUAAUAUUUUGAACCGCAUGGUUCAAAAGUGAAAGACGGUCUUGCUGUCACUUAUAGAUGGAUCCACGCUGCAUUAGCUAGUUGGUAAGGUAACGGCUUACCAAGGCAACGAUGCAUAGCCGACCUGAGAGGGUGAUCGGCCACACUGGAACUGAGACACGGUCCAGACUCCUACGGGAGGCAGCAGUAGGGAAUCUUCCGCAAUGGGCGAAAGCCUGACGGAGCAACGCCGCGUGAGUGAUGAAGGUCUUCGGAUCGUAAAACUCUGUUAUUAGGGAAGAACAUAUGUGUAAGUAACUGUGCACAUCUUGACGGUACCCAAACAGAAAGCCACGGCUAACUACGUG